UACGGAAGGCAGCAGUGGGGAAUAUUGCACAAUGGGCGAAAGCCUGAUGCAGCUAUGCCGCGUGUAUGAAGAAGGCCUUAGGGUUGUAAAGUACUUUCAUCGGGGAGGAAAAAACAAAACUAAUAAUUUUAUUUCUUGACGUUACCCGAAAAAGAAGCACCGGCUAACUCCGUGCCAGCAGCCGCGGUAAUACGGAGGGUGCUAGCGUUAAUCAGAAUUACUGGGCGUAAAGAGCACGUAGGUGGUUUUUUAAGUCAGAUGUGAAAUCCCUGGGCUUAACCUAGGAACUGCAUUUUGAAACUGAAAUACUAGAGUAUCGUAGAGGGAGGUAGAAUUCUAGGUGUAGCGGUGAAAUGCGUAGAUAUCUGGAGGAAUACCUGUGGCGAAAGCGGCCUCCUAAACGAAUACUGACACUGAGGUGCGAAAGCGUGGGGAGCAAACAGGAUUAGAUACC
rnacentral:rRNA from 1 species